rnacentral:rRNA from 1 species
CUCGUCGUUUAACAAAGUUGAUCAUGGCUCAAGUAGAACUCAGGCGGAUGGCCUAACACAUAGCAAGUACGAACGGCAGCACAGAGGAGCUUAGCUCCUUGGGUAGGCGAGUAGGCGGACGGGUAGAGAGAAUACAUACUGAGAAUACUAACUAUAUAUUCAGUAGAGGAGCGAUAAACGUAGGAGAGAAAUCUAUAACUGCUAAAUAAACCUGCAUAACGAACCUAACGAGGUAGAAAAGCAGAGG